AUACACACACACACACACACACACACACACAGCAUUUUUGCAAACACACCAGUUUUGAUGCAUUUGCUCAGCAUCUUAACACUACACUUUGGAUUCCUAAAUUCUGGACCACUCCCUAUUUACAAAAUACUUCCAUGUACGGAAACCUGACAGACUGAUCGGAGCUUAAGUUUCCUGUCUCUGAUGAGGAAGAGGAUUUGGAAGUGGACAAAUGAGAGACCAGAGUGUGACGAUGCCAACUGAACUGCCACCUGCUGCUGCCAUUGUGUGGUCGUGGGUGUGUAUAAUAGUAUGUGCACAUAAUGUAUUUUUCCACAGUCAAAGUAUUUUUUCUCUUUGAUUCUGAUUUGGGAACAGGUCAGAUCUACUGUGCUCUCCUCUCUGCUCCUGGAACUCGUACAGCACAUUACACCGCUGGCAUUAGGACGUUUUUGUGCCUCGGAGCUGUGUUGGACAUAAUAGAGAACAGAGACGUGUGUACUGUGUGCUUUAGGAGAGGUACAGGUGACGGUGUCCAGACGGUAGCACACAUGGCAGAAGUAUUUUUCAAACUGAUUGUGGAUUGAUGGAAGUGCCUACCACAGCUAUGAUCACCAUGUUUUAAUGUAGUUGAAGGAUUUCAUGGCUCUCUACGUGCAUGGGAAAAUAUUUGAGUCCUUUCACAAUGCUGUGAAAGGAUAAUUCCAGUUUAUUUCAACUUGCUCUGGUCAUAAAUUUUAUCAGUUAUAAUAACAUUGUACAAUGAAUAGCUCCAAGGAGUCAAGAAACACUAGCAGUCAGAGGUUCAGAGGGUUUGGAAACAAGCCAAAAGGUUAGUCAAACUUAUCUGAAGAGAAAAAUAAGGCAAAAGGUAAAAUGAUUACCCAAACUCUCUAUUGUAAACAUCCAUCAUAGUUUUCAGACCCCCUGCUUCAACUUUGACCUACUGUGCCUGCUGUAGUUUUGUGCACAGUUUGCUUGGAAUUAUUGUCAACCUUUUAAAGGUGUGCUCGCUUUCCAUUUAAUUUCCAAAUCAAGUGGUUUAGAUAAUCUGAUUAAAGUGAUGGUUUGUAUCCAGCCUGUCUGAAUGUCUGACUGCUCGUGUUUCUUGACCCUCUUUGAUCUUCUUAGAUCUAUUUCAGUGAUGUCACCGUGACAUUAGUCUCGACAAUUAACUUGGUGAGUGAAAUGUUAGAAAAGCCAAAAGGGACACAAUCUGUUAUAAACUUGAAUUUGCCUUUUAACUGCAUGGCAGUCAUGUGGAAAAAGAAGGCUGUAACAGAAUACGUUUAAAUAAAUUGAGAAGGUAUUAUAUUUUAUGAUGUAAAAUGACAACAGCAACAAAAAGUUCAAAUACAUGACAUUGAACUUGUUGCAGCUUUGGGACCCUAUUUCCUCCUGGUAUCAACAUCCAGUCUGUAUCUGGAUAAUGGUAUCUGAUAAUGAGGCCUUUGCAUUUACACCUGGGAUUAAUAAACAUUCUCACUAUCUCAACCGUUGCUUGCACUGUGGUCGAAUCUCAACACACAAUUUAGGUGGGUGAGCCAGCUGACUUUCCGUGGCAUGUCCCACUUUUGCUUUGACACUGUUCCUACCACAGUGCUAUUAAGCAAUGGUUUCACCUUGCUUCAUGGACAAGUGUCAUCCAUGGCAGCAUGGAGCCUAAACCUAGCUUCAUGCCCUCCCGUCUCAUGCCCUACCGCCUGGUGCCGUCCCCGAGCUUCUACUUUUCAAAAUAAAAGCUCAUGUCUGGUCCGCUCUGUCUUCGUACUAUGGUGUUUCUGAACUAAACAGUACGGCAAUUAUGCUAAUGAAUACAAUACUUAAAAAUAUCUGUCUAAAAGAUAAAUGCAGACUAUAAUGCUAAUGAAUAAAAUACUUAAAAAUAUGUCAAACUAAAAGACAAACUACAUACCCAUUUUAUGGCUGCAGCCUGGAGCCUCCCCUCUCGUGCCCUCUCGCCUGGUGCCAUCCCCGAGCUUGCUAUGGAAAUAAUAAUAAUAAUAUGGCUUAAACAAAGAUCUACGUUAAACGCUGAUGCAGUUUUAAAUGGUCCCUUCACCUAUAAAAGUUUACUUCUUGGUUUUUAUGAUUUCAGAAAAAUGGAGAUUAACCCUUUUUUUAAUUAUACUUUUUUUGCUUCUUGCCAAAUUUCAUAUCCAUGAAUGCAGGUUUAAAAAUUCUAAACCUUCCUUUGUUGCAUUUAAAAACAAGCCCAACUAUUAUUUUUAGAUAAUCUCUAAAGGCAUGAAAACCGUUUCAUUUUACUCUUCUGUGGUCUCAUAAUAUUGGAUAACUUUAAAUAUGUAUAAUUUAUAGUGUUGUGGGUGGCUUCAUUGUUGAGCUAUAUGUUUUUCCCCUGGCAUACGUUUUUAUGUUAUGUUUGUACUUCUUUUGUACUGUUGUGAAUUUGCAAAUAAAGCGUUAAAAAAAUGGGUAAAGUCAUCGCAGGUUUCAUCAAAUAAACAAUAUAAGUUAACAUCAGGGAUACAACAAUAACAUCCAAAAUACUGCAAACUAUAUGUAUGGCUAAAAUCGUUAAUUUAAGAGUUUAAAUUGUUAAUUUAUUUAUAAAAAAAAAAAAAGUUUAAAUGGUUUUCAAUUAAUUGCAACAAACAUGCUCACUAACUUAACCGUGACUCCAUCUAGAAUAUAAUUUGCGAUUUUGUAUUUUUGACCCUUUUGAAUUUACCGUUGGACACGCCCAGGCAUGAGACGGGAGAUCAUGAGACAGGAGGCUCCAGGCUGCAGCCAUGCCUGACUCCCUCGCGCCGGGAAUACCGCAGCGGCCAUAAACCUAGCUUUAGGUGACCUUUCAACUUGCUUGGGACUUUUUUUCUUCAGAAUAUGGUCAUACUACAGUAUAUAGGCCUUGUUUACACAUGGCAAAGAGAUCUGAUCACAAUGUGAGCAUGACCACCUCCAGAUGUGGAUUCUACAUUUAUGUUCAUUACAUCUGCAUUAACAUGUUGAUUCCCUGAUCCAGAUAAGGUAUCAACAUACAGAUCUCAUGUUAAUACGAGGUGAAAAUGGGGUCUCACUUUUCUAGUGAAUUCUGGCCUAAAGUUGGCUACCAUCUGUGUCUUGUUUGUCUGCUUGCUUGGUCGUGUACAGUCACAAAUUUCAAAAUUGACACAGACGUGUACAGCAGACACGCACAGGGUUCUGCAUAUGCCAAUGUGUUUACACGUGCAGUUAGCAGAUGUGGUCUGUGUGGUCGAAAAAAGUUUUUGAUACACAGGGAAAUCUGUAAGAAGUACGCCCUGCACCUUAAAGACUUGGGCAGGUGAAAAAAUUGACAUCACUCAAAUCUGUGUGGCUAUGUGGACACGUACAGUCUAAUUUACCCUCUUACAUCUUCAGGAGGUCUUACCAACUGAGUCAUCUUGCUCCCUCUACCCAUGGUGGAAGUAAUGUGGAAACACUUGAUACCUAAAUCAACAUGGUAAAUCAAGGCAUGUUGGAAAAGUGCGUCAAGGGUCAUUUGAAGCUACUUGAAGCUAAGAAAACUAAAAAUGGACCUAAUUAUAUGACAUUUUGGACCAAUUAAAGGCAAAUCGUAUAUUGGGAGGAGGUGCUCAAGGCUAUCAAUAGGUCUGACUAGCCAGUCUGUUCACAUGCAGGGGUUGAAGCCCAUCAUGGUGCUUCUUUUUAGUUACAAACAUAAUUUUGCUUGUGAUUACUUUCAAAUUUGAUUGAAUUUGGGAAAACCUCUGACAUUUGUCCCAAAGUUUGUAUUUCAAAUGUACAAGGCUUUUGACAUGAGAGCAGUGACAUGCAGGAGAAUGAGCACACCCACCUGGCAGGAAGCAGAUGUACUGUAUGUGUGUUUUAGGGAUAAAUAUAUGUACAGUAUACUGCUCUUCUCCUCUUUUUAAAGCCCAUUAACAUCUCUGUAGAAUGGGAUGAAAGUGCAAUAGUUUCUUCUUCUCCAAACCUGACGCUCUCCUCUCUUAAGGAAAUGUUAAAUCAUUCCUUCCACCUUUAAUUCACAUUUGUAUCAUGUAAUGUACAAGCUUUGUUCUAUUUAAAGAAAGGGGAAAAAGUACUGAAUGUGUCCUAGUUGUACAUAGAGUUCAGACAGUGUUUAUUAGUCACAUUUAUUUAUUGGAAAUUACAGCGACAUUUUUUUUCUUACACAGUUGUGAAAGUGCCAAUAAUAAAGGAAUAGCUUUAAAUUAAACCAUGGCUGUUCACAUAUUUGUAUUUCAAAAGAAUAUCAGGCUUGGGAACAAAAUUUGAAUGUGUCAUGUUUUCAGGUCUUGGUCGCAACAGAAUUUUUUUGUGCUUAGCAAAACACAAGAGCACAGAAAUGCCAUCUGGAGAGCCCACACCACCAGGGCCAUGCUGAUGGCAUCAAAAGGCAACAAAAAUGAUUCAAUCUUGUGGUUAUAGUUGUUACCAUUUGCUUUUGUCAGAAUUUGAUUCAGAACUCUGCUUACUCUUCACAGAUUUUGUGAUUUGGUAUACUGUAGAUCCCAAUUAUGGUUUUUAAGUUGUUACAAGUUCUCAUUCAGUGUACCCUCUUUCAUUUUAGUUGUCAUUAUAAGGUGAGUUGAUUAAAAAAAAAUUCAAUAAA